rnacentral:rRNA from 1 species
AGAGUUUGAUCCUGGCUCAGGAUGAACGCUGGCGGCGUGCUUAACACAUGCAAGUCGAGCGAAGCGGCUGAAUUGAUUCUUCGGAUGAUUUUCAGUUGACUGAGCGGCGGACGGGUGAGUAACGCGUGGGUGACCUGCCCCAUACCGGGGGAUAACAGCUGGAAACGGCUGCUAAUACCGCAUAAGCGCACAGAGCUGCGUGGCUCGGUGUGAAAAACUCCGGUGGUAUGGGAUGGGCCCGCGUCUGAUUAGGCAGUUGGCGGGGUAACGGCCCACCAAACCGACGAUCAGUAGCCGGCCUGAGAGGGCGACCGGCCACAUUGGGACUGAGACACGGCCCAAACUCCUACGGGAGGCAGCAGUGGGGAAUAUUGCACAAUGGGGGAAACCCUGAUGCAGCGACGCCGCGUGAGCGAAGAAGUAUUUCGGUAUGUAAAGCUCUAUCAGCAGGGAAGAUAAUGACGGUACCUGACUAAGAAGCCCCGGCUAACUACGUGCCAGCAGCCGCGGU